ensembl:misc_RNA 7SK 7SK RNA
GAAAGUCCGGCUGUGAAAUUUGUCACUCCAAUGAGGCCCACAGUUGCUCAAGCUCAUCAGACUGGCUAAGCAGGUGCCUUUUUCCUCCCUCCCAAGCUUCCCACAUUUAGAGGAUAACCUUCCAGAUAAAAGCGGACAAUUCUGUAAUCAAGGGCAUACAAAUAGCUGAAGUUGCCUGCUAGGAAUUCUACAUAAUUUCUCAAUGUCUGUUCGUAGGAGAACUAGCAUAGUGUCCAAGACUCUGGAUACAUCCAAAUGAGGAGGUGCAUGUGGCAGUCUGCUUUUCGUU